rnacentral:rRNA from 1 species
CCUACGGGAGGCAGCAGUGGGGAAUAUUGGGCAAUGGGCGCAAGCCUGACCCAGCAACGCCGCGUGAAGGAAGAAGGCUUUCCGGUUGUAAACUUCUUUUUUCAGGGACGAAGCAAGCGACGGUACCUGACGAAUAAGCCACGGCUAACUACGUGCCAGCAGCCGCGGUAAUACGUAGGUGGCAAGCGUUAUUCGGAUUUAUUGGGUGUAAAGGGAGUGUAGGCGGGAAUGCAAGUCAGAUGUGAAAACUAUGGGCUCAACCCAUAUCCUGCAUUUGGAACUGUAUUUCUUGAGUGCUGGAGAGGCAAUCGGAAUUCCGGGUGUAGCAGUGAAAUGCGUAGAUAUACGGAGGAACACCAGUGGCGAAGGCGGAUUGCUGGACAGUAACUGACGCUGAGGCGCGAAAGCGUGGGGAGCAAACAGGACUAGAUACCCCUGUAGUC